GUGGGGAAUAUUCCGCAAUGGACGAAAGUCUGACGGAGCAACGCCGCGUGAGUGAUGAAGGUUUUCGGACUGUAAAGCUCUGUUGUUUAGGACGAAAGUGCCUGUUGCGAACAGUUACAGGUAUUGACGGUACUAAACGAGGAAGCCACGGCUAACUACGUGCCAGCAGCCGCGGUAAUACGUAGGUGGCAAGCGUUGUCCGGAAUUAUUGGGCGUAAAGAGCAUGUAGGCGGGAAUCUAAGUCUGUUGUGAAAAUGCGGGGCUCAACCCCGUAUUGCGAUGGAAACUGGGUUUCUUGAGUGCAGGAGAGGAAAGGGGAAUUCCCAGUGUAGCGGUGAAAUGCGUAGAUAUUGGGAGGAACACCAGUGGCGAAGGCGCCUUUCUGGACUGUGUCUGACGCUGAGAUGCGAAAGCCAGGGUAGCGAACGGGAUUAGAAACCCGUGUAGUCC
rnacentral:rRNA from 1 species